UUUUGUUCGCUAGUUUGCGUC
rnacentral:miRNA from 1 species